GGCUUCACACGUCAUACAAUGGUCGGAACAGAGGGUUGCCAACCCGCGAGGGGGAGCUAAUCCCAGAAAACCGAUCGUAGUCCGGAUUGCACUCUGCAACUCGAGUGCAUGAAGCUGGAAUCGCUAGUAAUCGCGGAUCAGCAUGCCGCGGUGAAUACGUUCCCGGGUCUUGUACACACCGCCCGUCACACCAUGGGAGUGGGUUUUACCAGAAGUGGCUAGUCUAACCGCAAGGAGGACGGUCACCACGGUAGGAUUCAUGACUGGGGUGAAGUCGUAACAAGGUAGCCGUAUCGGAAGGUGCGGCUGGAUCACCUCCUUUC
rnacentral:rRNA from 2 species